rnacentral:rRNA from 1 species
GACGUAGGAUGCGAGCGUUGUCCGGAUUUAUUGGGCGUAAAGAGUUCGUAGGUGGUUUGUUAAGUCUGAUGUUAAAGAUUGGGGCUCAACCCUGAAACUGCAUUGGAUACUGGCAAACUUGAGUGUGGUAGAGGCUAGUGGAAUUCCCAGUGUAGCGGUGAAAUGCGUAGAUAUUGGGAAGAACACCGGUGGCGUAGGCGACUAGCUGGGCCAUAACUGACACUGAGGAACGAAAGCCAGGGUAGCGAAUGGG